rnacentral:misc_RNA from 1 species
GAGAGAGAGAGAGAGACCUGUUUCAUAGCUCCACGUAUUUGCGGCCUUGCCUUUAACAAAGUAAUGGGUGAAGAAGUCUUCGUCUUGUUUAUCUUCUUGAAAUCAGACCAAGGAACACAAUAGGACAUAAAAAUGGUUACUACUGAAACUACAGAAAAUACAUAACCAAUUACGAACCCACUACUGAAUGAAUAAUCGAAUCUCAUCCCAUGCUCCUCCUCAAGCUUCCGCCGGCGAUCAUCACCGGUCAUCCCAGCAGCGAUUCCACCGAUAUGAAGAAGAAGAAGAGGAAGA